CCUACGGGAGGCAGCAGUGGGGAAUUUUCCGCAAUGGGCGAAAGCCUGACGGAGCAAUACCGCGUGAGGGAUGACGGCCUAUGGGUUGUAAACCUCUUUUUUCAGGGAGGAAUCAAUGACGUGUACCUGAAGAAUAAGCAUCGGCUAACUCCGUGCCAGCAGCCGCGG
rnacentral:rRNA from 1 species